GGUUCAAUGCCACGUCGCUGAUAGCUAUUUGCUUUGACCAGCGAUGCUAUGAUUGGACCAAUAACAAGAGUUUCACUUGUUUCGCAUCUUGAUAGGAACCUGCGGAUUUCAAUAUUCUAUGAUCUGUGGAGCCGUUUUCUGCGAUUACAUUC